CUGCUCUGGACCUAGGCCUCAUGCUCCAGACCCAGGUCUCCUGCUCCACAGAGCAGGCAGGGACCCCACUCUGUCCCCCACCAUUCCCACUCCUACCUUUGUUUAAACUGCAGCUGCAGACUCAGGCAUCCCUACACUCUUGAGGGCCCAGAAAGCUCCACCAACCCUGCCCUUGCAAGCUGGGAAGUACCUGUUCCAGCUGCCUGGCUUUUCCCUGCUGUCAGGGCUGCUCCAAUCUCAGAGCAGUCAGGCUGAGUCCAGGUGCCAUGAAUGGUAGCAGAAGGCAGACAGAUUCCUGGGCAGAAGAGGGAGGGCCCACUGUGAGGCCCCACCUUCAGGCCAGGAAGUGUGUGAAGGCUGGGAGCCAGGCUAUCAGUCCCAUAGACUGGAUUGGGAACUUGCAGUGCCCCUUCCAGCCGGCCCAUGGUCACACAUGGACCAAUCGGUGUGCACUUUCUCCUCUCUGAGGCCCAUAAAAGCCCUGGACUCAGCCAGAGCUGAGCAGAUCACUGGAUAACCAGCUGCAGAGAGAAGCUAUGCUCUCUGCAUAUAGCAGGAGACACGAACAAGCAGCUGCAGAGAGAAACAACCCAAUCCAGGGCCUCCUCUCUGCUAGGAGCUGAGGAGAUGAUGAAGGACCUGCCUACAGGGAGGAGCUACCCUCUCCAAAACCCCUUCUCUGCUGAGAGCUACAGAGAGGACAGGAUGACCUGCCUGCAGAGAGGACCUUUCCACUCCAGGGUCUCCUCUCUGUUAGGAGCUGAACAUUUGUUGGGACAUGCUGACUGUGGAAAGGAGCUACCCGCUAUGGGUUUCAUUUGAGCUGUCCUAUUGUUCAAUAAAGCUCCUCUUCAUUUUGUUCACCUUCCACCUGUCUGCAUACUUCAUUCUUCCUGGUUGCAGGACAACGACUCAGGACCUGCUGAAUGGUGGAGUUAAAAGAGGUGUUUAUUGCUAUGAACUUCCGUCUUAGAACUGCUUUUGCUGUAUCUCAUAAGUUUGGGUAUGUUGUGUUUCCAUUUUCAUUUAGGAGAAAUAAGUUUAAGAGAUCUGUUAUAUAGCAUAAUGACUAUAGUUAAUGAUAUAUUGUAUUCUUGAAAAAUGCUAAGAGUAAAUAUUGUGUUCUCACUAGAACUAUGUGAGGUGAUGCAUAUAUGUUACUUAGCUGGAUCUAACCUUUUCACAAUGUAUAUUACUUUAAAACAUCUUGUUGUACAAAUAAAUACAAUUUUGUCUGUCAAGUUAAAUAAAUAUACAGGUAGGUGAUAGAUAGAUGAUAGACAAAUGCACUGAUAACCCAAUAAAAAAUAGGCCAAAGAUUUAAAUAAGCACUCUAUCAAAGAUAUACAUUUGGCUAAUGAGCACAUGAAAUAACGAUCAACACAAUCAGUCAUUAGAAAUUUGCAAAUUAAUAGUACAACGAGAUAUCACUAUGAACCUGUUUGACUAAAAUUUAAAAAAAACAAAAGACUGACAAUACCAACUGCCAGUGUGAACAUGGAACAUCUGAAACUCUCAAAUACUGUGGUGCAAAUGCAACAUUGCACAGUCACUUUGGGAAAUGGUUUGACAAUUUCUUUAUAAAACAAAACAUGUACUUACUAUAUGAUACAGUAAUCAUAUUUCUUGGUGUUUAACCAAGUAAAUUGAUCCAAAAGACUGUAUAUUGUAUAAUAUCAUUUAUAUGACAACUUGAAAAAGCAAACAUCUAAGAACAGAAAUGAGAUCAGAGAUUUUCAUGGAUUCCAGUUGGCAUGAGCACUAGGGAAUCACAAGGAAAUGUGGGUUAAUGGAAUUGGUUCUGCGUGAUUAUGUGGCAGUGGAUACAUGACUCAAUGCAUUUGUUCAAACCCAUAGAACUGUACACCACAAAGAGUGAAUAGUGUUGUAUGCAAAUGAAUAAAGUCAACCCAGAUGUCUGUGGAGCCCAAGACGAAAUACAGACUGUUUCGAAUGAAUCUAACUGUAUUUUGAACGCAUGACAGAACUACUCUAAAGGAGAGAGGCGAGAAAGGAGCUGAACUAAAUAAAUUUGUAACUCAGUGUUUUCGCCAGAUAGCGUCAGUUAAAGAUAAAAAUAACUAUCUACAUAUACACAAACAAACACACCCAGAAACAAAAGAAAAUAUAGGGACAGAGUUAAUAGCAUUGCUCAGCUCUCAGUCUGUUGCACUUUCUAUGGGGGCCCACUGCCUAAGUCAUUUUCUUUUUAAUCUCAGUUCUCAGUUAAGUUUUCGAAAAUUAUAACAAAAAGUUCACUUUUGACAACAUAGAUGUUGUAAUCAUGAAGUUGCUUUAUGAUCUUUAUUUGCUUGGAAGUAUAAUGUUGUUCUCAGGCUCCCAAAUCUAAAAUAUCUCUAAUAACAAAAAUGCAUUUGUCAGCAGUGUUGUCUCCCUUGAAACAGCUCAAGAAGCAGCUUCUUUUCUAUGUGUUUUAUAAAAUGUUCCAUCUGGAUUUCAUGAACAGAAAGGUCCACUCCAGCCACAAAACUGGAUAGAUAAGCAGCCUUCAUUUGAUGCUGGUGUUUCACAGGUAUUUUCUUUCUUUCUUUUUUGAAACAGAACCUCGCUCUGCUGCCCAGGCUGGAGUGCAGUGGCAUGAUCUCGGCUCACUGCAACCUCCACCUCCCUGGUUCAAGCAAUUCUCCUGCCUCAGUCUUCCGAGUAGCUGGGAUUACAGGCGUGUGCCACCAUGGCCAGCUAAUUUUCUGUAUUUUUAGUAGAAACAGGGUUUCACCAUGUUGGCCAGGCUGGUCUCGAACUCCCGACCUCAAGUGAUCCACCCACCUCGGCCUCCCAAAGUGCUGGGAUUGCAGGCGUGAGCCACCGCGCCCAGCCUCACAGGUACUUUCUAAUCAAAGUUAAAAGAAC
rnacentral:lncRNA from 1 species